rnacentral:misc_RNA from 1 species
UACGAGGGGUCCUAGCGCUGUUCGGAAUUAUUGGGCGUAAAGAGUAUGUAGGCGGCCUUGUAAGUCAGGUGUGAAAGCCCCGGGCUCAACCCGGGAAGUGCAUUUGAUACUGCUUGGCUUGAAUGUUGGAGAGGGUAGUGGAAUUCCAGGUGUAGUGGUGAAAUACGUAGAUAUCUGGAGGAACACCGGUGGCGAAGGCGGCUGCCUGGCCAAACAUUGACGCUGAGAUACGAAAGCGUGGGUAGCAAACAGG